UUUCCGUAGGUGAACCUGCGGAAGGGUCAUUGAUAGUUUUGUACGUUUGUGCUUUUGUGUCUUGUCUAUAAUGUAAAACUCAGUUUAAACAACUGUGAACAAUGGAUCUCUUGGCUCUUGCACCGAUGAAGAACGCAGC
rnacentral:misc_RNA from 1 species